rnacentral:lncRNA from 1 species
CGGGCAUCUGCAUCUCGGCAGGAGGAGGACCGCUACAGGCUCAUGCUCAGUCGGAGCAACAGUGAAAACAUUGCCAGCAACUACUUCCGAUCUAAGCGGGCCAGCCAGAUCCUCAGCACAGACGCCAGGAAGAGCCUCACACAUCACAACUCGCCACCAGGCCUCAGCUGCCCACUCAGCAACAACUCUGCCAUCCCACCCACCCAGGCCCCUGAAAUGCCCCAGCCCCGGCCCUUCCGCCUCGAGUCCCUCGACAUCCCUUUCACCAAGGCCAAGCGUAAGAAAAGCAAAAGCAACUUUGGCAGUGAGCCUCUGUGAGCACAGCUGCUUGCCACUGCCUGCCUUAUGGGCAUGUAGAGACUGCCAGGCCCUCCCAGGGCAGCCCCAACCAGGUCUCCUCCCACCUGCCACACAGCGCUCCGGGGCCUGAGGGCUCCCUCAGCCCUGGGAAGACACAUUCCCUUCCCUGUUCCCCAGAGAGCCCACCUCCGCCCUGGGCAGGAGCCCUCGGAGGCUGUAUAGUCCUCCUUAGAGAGGCCUGCUCCAGCUGUUCAUACCACAUCAGUGUUUCCGUCUGCUCACCUGCCACGGAGCCCACACCCAUGCCCACCAGUGUUGGUCUUUGCCUCAAAGCCUGAGACCUGCUUCACGGCCUUCACCAGCCCUGAUGGAGAGGGCAGCAGCUGCCACGUGGAGGAAGCUCAAUAUCAGCUGGGAAGGAACUGUGCCUCUGUCUGACUGGCCCCACUUCCUAAGCACUGCCCUGCCCCAUGGGGUGGCACAGGGGUCCCACAGCAGGUCUUCCUGCACUGCCCACCCCUGGCUGGUCUGUGGCCCAAGGAAGGCCACUCCACAUUAAGCUGC